UUUCCCUGCCCUCCUCCCUGUCAGGAGGUAACAGUGGGACCUGUCCCAGUAGGCAAAGAGCUGUGGAGAUGAUGGUGUUCUCACGAGACAUCCGUUUUCAACAGACCAGGAGACCGAGGCAGAAAGCAAGCCCUCUGGCCAAGGUCAACAAGGGUGCAGGUGGAGUCCAACUGUGUGUGAUAAAAACCAAACCAUCUCCUGCUGCCUCCAGACGCUGGGCUGGAGAGUGCCUUGGAGAGGGCUCACGGGUCCCUGAGCUUAGGCCUGUGCUGCUGGUACCAAAUGGCCACAGGAGGAUAGACCGCUGAGGGGGCCCUGGGCUCAGGGCCACCCUGCCCCCAGUUUCC